AUACGGAGGGUGCAAGCGUUACUCGGAAUCACUGGGCUUAAAGGGCGCGUAGGCGGUUGUGCAAGUCUGGGGUUGAAGCCCACGGCUCAACCGUGGAAAGGCCCUAGAAACUACACGACUUGAGUGAGCGAGGGGAGGGCGGAAUUCCCGGUGUAGCGGUGAAAUGCGUAGAUAUCGGGAGGAAGGCCGGUGGCGAAGGCGGCCCUCUGGCGCUUGACUGACGCUGAGGCGCGAAAGCGUGGGGAGCAAACAGGAUUAGAAACCCUAGUAGUCC
rnacentral:rRNA from 1 species